CCGUCACAUCGAAUCUUAGGACACAUACAUGAAGCAUUAAAUAUGGAUAAAAAUAAAAACUAAUUACACAGUUUACCUGUAAAUCGUGAGAAGAAUCUUUUGACCCUAGUUAGUCUAUGAUUGGAGAAUAUUUGCCACAAACAAACGAAAGUGCUACAGUACCCGAAGCCAAAAAAAUUUGCAAACUGAACAAGGCCUAAAUAUAGACAAAAAUAAAAACUAAUUACACAGUUUAGCCGAAAUUUACAAGACGAAUCUUUUGAACCUAGUUAGUCCAUGGUCGGACAAUAAUUACCACAAACAAACGAAAGUGCUACAGUGUCGCGAAAUUUAUCCCUUCAGAAACUAAACACGGCCUAGAUCACCCUAAAAUUAAAAAAAAAAUCAAGAUUCUUUAUUGCAUCAAAUCUUGAGGCAAAUACAUGUAAUACUAAAUGUAGACAAAAACAAAAACUAAUUGCACGAUUUGUCUAUAAUUUAUGAUACGAAUCUUUUGAGGCUACUUAGUCUAUAUUUGAAUAAUAAUUAUCAAAUACAAAUGAAAGUGUUACAGUAUCAAAAUCCAAAAACGUUUCGGAACUAAACAAGGCCUAGAGCAUCUAAGAGCAUCUCCAACAGUUUGACAAUUUUGUUUGCCAUUUGUUGUAGUUUGCCAACUCCCAAAAUGAUAUGGCAAGUGGAAAAAAGGUCAUCUCCAAGUGUUUGGCAUAAUUGACUUGGCAAAAACAAAAAUUGUGGACCCAACCGUAUUUGCCACG
rnacentral:lncRNA from 1 species